GAUCGGACAUGAAUGAAGAGCUCAAAAAAGAAAUGGAGAAGGAGGGGUUAGACAGAUUGGAAGAGGACAAGAAGAAAGAGGGGUCAUGAAAAGUUAAAAAUGGCUUUUUACUUUGCUGAGCUAUCCAAGACCCAGGAACAUUCCUCUUUUCUUCCAUCCUCAGUAAUGAGGUGAAGAUGGAGUCAAGGUCUCUGCUGACUUGGACAGUGGAUGGAACUCAAGAUCCAGUGCAAGACUGAUCUCAAAAGCAUUGGUUGUUUGUCUCGUGGAGGCCAGGACCUUUGACCCCAUCUGGCUAGAGAUAAUCCAUCAUGAAGAAAAGUUAAUGGAAUCAGCAGGAAAGUGGCGGUGCCACCAUCGUCCUUUCAUCCCUUUCCAAAAUUCCUUCUGACCUUUACCACUACUCUCCGCUGCUGUGAGGUCACCAUCAUUUCCUCUCUCACUCAACCAGUUGAGAGCCUCUGGUGCAUUCUCAUGGCACACUGAUGGAUUAGCUGCAGAGUAGGGAUGUAGAAUUAAUAUUCUGAACAUAAUAAUAGUUAAAUAUAGUGCCACAUUCAAAGUAAAAGAAAAAGAGAUUAUACAUGCUACGUCCAGGCCACAGAGUUCCUUUUUGAUGAAAUGACUCAGUAAUAGUUUCAUUUUUAAGCAGUGGAGUGCAAAGAGCACCGGGCCUGGAGUCAGGAGGAUCUGAGUUCAAAUUUGAUCUCACAUCCUUACCAACUGUGUUACCCUGGGCAAAUCACUUAAUCUUUUUCUGCCUCAGUUUCCUCAUCUGUAAAAUGGGUACAAAAAUGUCACCUACCUCACAAGGUUGUUGUAAGGUUCAAAGGAG
rnacentral:lncRNA from 1 species